rnacentral:rRNA from 1 species
UACGUAGGGUGCGAGCGUUAAUCGGAAUUACUGGGCGUAAAGCGUGCGCAGGCGGUUUUGUAAGCCAGAUGUGAAAUCCCCGGGCUUAACCUGGGAAUGGCAUUUGGGACUGCAAGGCUUGAGUGCGGCAGAGGAGACUGGAAUUCCUGGUGUAGCAGUGAAAUGCGUAGAUAUCUGGAAGAACACCCGUGGCGAAGGCGGCACUCUGGGACGGUACUGACGCUGUGGCGCGAAAGCUAGGGGAGCAAACGGG